rnacentral:tRNA from 1 species
CCAAACAUAGCUCAGCGGUAGAGCGGUCGGCUGUAACCCGACAAGUCCCCGGUUCAAAUCCGGGUGUUUGGA